GCACAAAUACACCGCAGGUUAGAAAUAUCACACUUAAGCUGCCUCACAGACCAUUUACACUCAUUAAUCUAACACAUGUCUUUGGGCUGUGGGAGCAAGCUGGACUCAAUAUGCACCACAGAGAGCAGCCAUGCUUAAGUUUAGGUAAGGAAGAUAAAUAGAAGCUGCACAGAUACAACCGCUGAAAGCAAACUAUUCCUUUUCCUCAGAAUGUCACAGUUUUGAGAUUAAUGUCAGAAUUCUUUGAGAAAAGUCGGAAUUCUAAGAAGAAAAAAAAACUCCAAAAGAUGCCCGGACCUAUAGAAACCAUUUGUUGGCAAGAACAGCAGUAAAAUGGUUCUUGUAGUUGGUCAGUGGGUUUGCACACAUCUCAGGGGGGAUUUUGUUCCACUCCUCUUUACAGAAACUCUAAAUCAUUUUAGGUUUCUUGGUUAGCUGCUUGGAAACUCAAAGCUUCAGCCUCCUCCACAAAUUUCUAUAAGACUAUAAGAAAUGUGCUUCUUCUUUAACCACUCCUUUGUUGCCUUGACGCCAUGUUUUGGGUCAUUGUCAUGCUGGAAGACUCGACUAUCAUCGUCAACGUUCUGGCUGAGGGAAGGAGGUUCUCACUUGCCUCACCCCAUGAGGCAAGAUCUUGAACAAAGCUCCAGACCGAGGGCGGAAGAAAUAUUACAUGACCAUCAAUUUCUAAAUAACUGCACCAACAGUCAUCUGCUCAAAGCUUCUUGUUGAUGGUAUUGUAGCUCAUUCCAGACUCCUGCAGGUCUACAAUCUUAUUCCUGGCCUCCUUUGACAGCUCUUUGCUCUUACGACGGUGGAGGAGAGGUUGGAAUGGAAGAAACCGACUCCUGAUUUCAGCAUGACACACAUAUCAAGUGUUGUAGAGAAUCAAAACCCAGAUUUCACUCAAUGAGAUGCAAAUCAAUUUAUAACAUUUAUUUCAUGUUUUUGUUUCAAGAUUUCUGGCUAAUAUUCUGUCUCUCUUCAUAAAAAUCUAAACUACCAUCAUUUAUUUGUGAGCAAACCUGCAAAUUCACCAGGGGAUCAAAUCAUCAGUUCCCCCACUGCAACUUAAUGUCUGCAGCUUAUGUAAAAUACAGAAGGGAAAUAAACCAAACAUUUUAAACCUAAAAUAAUUAGUAUUUUCUUCUGGUGGUCGGUUUAGGCUCUUCAGCAGAAUUAUUCAGCAACAACCCAGCAGCUGUGUGGAAAUGAUAGCAGAGAGUUCACAACCCAGAGUGACCUCGAGUGGAAAUACUCUGGAUUUCGGUCAGUAGACAGCAGGGCUGUGAAACCUUAACUGCUCUUACUGAAUAAUGAAUAAGCAAGUGAUAAAAGCUUCAUGCACUACAGGUCCCUCAUGGGCUGUUGCUGAGGAAAAGAUAUUGUUGUUGUCCUUGUUUUUCAUAGCAGAGCUCGCUCUGGGCAUCCAACGCCCAUGCUGUACAGCUUCAUACUCUGUGUACUUGUUUAUCUUGUAAUGCAGAUCAUUUAAGGUCUGUUUAUAUUAUUAAAAAAAUAAUAGUUGUGUGUCUGUGCUCUGGAUCACAUAUGGAUGCAAUCCACAAAGUCAGCUAUUUGAAUGGUUUGAACUUAUUGAUAAGAAAGAACUUAUAUGUCUGUGAAGGUUCUCAGUCAUCCAGGUCUUAUAACUAACCCUUAUAACUAAGAACUUAUAACUAACCCAUUUCCAGUUAGAGAAACUGUUAGGUGACUUAGGUUUUAGGUAACUGACUCAAGGAGUAAGUCAGGUUUUGCUGCUUUGAUUUAAAUCACCAUUCUCAGUGCGUCUUUGUAGCGGUGCAGCACUGAAUCUGUGGAGUGCCUCUUUCACAUGUACAGUAUUAAGCUCUCUGAGUGUUUUGCAGUGCAGUGAACUGAUGCAGUUGCGUCCACAUGGUGGUGUCAUACACCAAGACAACACAUCAAUACUCAGGGCACUACGAGGGCUGACAAACAUCCACCAGAAGUUGUGUAACUAAGCAACCAUCAGAAAAAGAAGGGGAACACACGAUGACCCCUGACCUUGUCAUAAAGGUUGCCGGCAUUCUUCCUGUCGUCCUCGUCGCUGCUGUCCUCUGCAGGCGGGCUCUGCCUUUUCAUCUCAUCGCCCAGGUAGUGCUCAAAGACGCUGGAGAAGGCAAUGGCUGACAGCAUGCACACCACCGGAGUCAGAGUCAGCAUCAAGCGUA